GGAGGAGGGAGACAGAGGGAUUCAGCUAUGGGCAGAGGUACAGGGAACAUCAUUAGAAAAGAGCCGCUGGAGCAGAGAACGCCAUAAAAUGGAGAGGGUGAAUGGAGUCUCCACUGGGACUGGAAUCUACUGCGGGACUCUAACAACCAAGGCACGAGCGUAACGCCUGGCAUCCCAACAUUGCGACAUCCAGCAUGUCUCAUUGGUACAAUUUCCAAAAGAAUUAUUGGACAAAACAAGUCACCUUCUAGCUUAUCCCAGGAAGCAAGCGUCAGCGACCCUGAACAUGCAAUCCAGGGAGCAAUGCGAUCAAUUUCCAUAAUAAACCCUUUCAACAUUCUUUUUGAAAGCUUUAGUUCAUGCUGUUUUAAAAGUGACUGAAGUGCCGUGAUCCCCGAAUGUGAAGCUCCCAUGUUGCUCCCUUAUCUACGAGAGAAACUGACACAGGGAGGGGCACCAAGGCUUAUUUACGUCCGGCUAACAGUACCCAACGGCACACCAAAAAAGAAGGGGGGGACACUGCCGCUUAUCUACGUCCGUCUAACGAUGUCCCAGGGAGACAAAGCACUUCAGCACCAGUCUUUAUGGAAACAAAAAUGAAACUAAAAGAAAAAUUACUAAGGUCACCAAAACAAACGCAAGAGCAACUGGGACAAUUAAAUGGGGCGAUAUCUCUUUAAGAGCAGGCAUGCCUCUCAGAACUCACCUUAGAGCUGCAGUUCUGAAUCCUCCCCUCAAGCGCGAGCGAGGGGGUCUCCCCAGGGCUGGCGAUCAAAGGCUGCCCGGCGUCCCGGGCUUCGGCACCAGAUGUUGCCCGUGUAAUCAUCUCGCCAGCAAGAACGCACGCAGACACCAGGAUCCUCCUGCAGCAAGCUUUUAUUACAAUGAAAAGAGGAAGACGAUAACCGCCGGAAAGGUGCUGCUUAAAUACACCCUAUGGCGGCGUGUACUCCGCUGGUUGGCUGCUUGCCCAUUGCCCCAUGUGACGCCCCGGGCUGGGCAGUGACGCCCCGGGCUGGGCAGUGACGCCCCGGGCUGGGCAGUGGCGCCCUGGGCUGGGCAGUGGCUUGGCGCGCUUUUGCAACUUGCACAUGCGGUCUAUUAUUUGUUCAUUAGGGCCGGGGCCGGAUGUCGGCGCCAUCUCGUAAUGGCGAUUGCAUUCUCUCGGCUCUCCACGUCUGGUACCUUCUCCUGUGCCCUUUUCUGGCCUGCAAGCAUAAAUGUAUGCAAGACUGAAUGCAUAAUUAAUAAAUCUUUUAAAAAAACACUUCCUUAGACCCUCAAACAUUUAUAACUUGUAUUUACUAAACUUAAGGCACUUUCUUAGACCCUCAAACAUUUUUUUAGGCUUUGUAUCUAGUUAUUUACCAUAAGUCAUACGUGAGACUACUAUGAACAUUUAUUGUCCUUUAGGUAAAUAAAGGGAUGAUAAAAGUUUCCAUUCAA